GAGCGCCCCGCAAGGGGAGCGGCAGACGGGAGAGUAACACGAGGGAACGUACCCUUCAGUUCGGAACAACCCAGGGAAACUUGGGCUAAUACCGAAUACGUCCGUAAGGAGAAAGAUUUAUCGCUGAAGGAUCGGCCCGCGUCUGAUUAGCUAGUUGGUGAGGUAACGGCUCACCAAGGCUACGAUCAGUAGCUGGUCUGAGAGGAUGAUCAGCCUCACUGGGACUGAGACACGGCCCAGACUCCUACGGGAGACAGCAGUGGGGAAUAUUGGACAAUGGGCGCAAGCCUGAUCCAGCCAUGCCGCGUGGAUGAUGAAGGCCCUAGGGUUGUAAAGUCCUUUCGGCGGGGAAGAUAAUGACGGUACCCGCAGAAGAAGCCCCGGCUAACUUCGUGCCAGCAGCCGCGGUAAUACGAAGGGGGCUAGCGUUGCUCGGAAUCACUGGGCGUAAAGCGCACGUAGGCGGCUUUUUAAGUCAGGGGUGAAAUCCUGGAGCUCAACUCCAGAACUGCCUUUGAUACUGAGAGGCUUGAGUCCGGGAGAGGUGAGUGGAACUGCGAGUGUAGAGGUGAAAUUCGUAGAUAUUCGCAAGAACACCAGUGGCGAAGGCAGCUCACUGGCCCGGUACUGACGCUGAGGUGCGAAAGCGUGGGGA
rnacentral:rRNA from 1 species